rnacentral:rRNA from 1 species
CCUACGGGAGGCAGCAGUGAGGAAUAUUGGUCAAUGGACGAGAGUCUGAACCAGCCAAGUAGCGUGAAGGAUGACUGCCCUAUGGGUUGUAAACUUCUUUUAUAUGGGAAUAAAACGUUCCACGUGUGGGAUUUUGUAUGUACCAUAUGAAUAAGGAUCGGCUAACUCCGUGCCAGCAGCCGCGGUAAUACGGAGGAUCCGAGCGUUAUCCGGAUUUAUUGGGUUUAAAGGGAGCGUAGGUGGAUUGUUAAGUCAGUUGUGAAAGUUUGCGGCUCAACCGGAAAAUUGCAGUUGAAACUGGCAGUCUUGAGUACAGUAGAGGUGGGCGGAAUUCGUGGUGUAGCGGUGAAAUGCUGAGAUAUCACGAAGAACUCCGAUUGCGAAGGCAGUUCACUGGACUGCAACUGACACUGAGGCUCGAAAGUGUGGGUAUCAAACAGGAUUAGAUACCCCUGUAGUC